AGCCAGCCUCGGCAGAGAGGCCACGCCCCGAGUAGCCAUGGUGACAGCGCUUCGGGGAGCUGGCGCUGCUGCGGGCCGAGAAAGGUUGGACGGCGCUGAAUACAGAAGGAGAGUCCAGGCCUGGAGCAGGAGGCGGUAGAUGCACCUGCCCUCGCUCUCUGGGGAACUCCAGGAUGGGGAUGGACCAGGCGGGCCCGCGCAGAAAGCCGGCGAUGCUGUCUACCACCCACUCCACGUCCGCCUCUCCCUCCGCCGCCAUCGGGGCGGGUCCAGGCCGCGGCCGACUGCCCGCGCACAAGCUCCGGGGGAACACAGGAAGACCCGGUUUAACCAAUAUAACUUCCUGGAUUUUGGAUAUACCCAUUUUUAUGCAUUUGGGAGAAAUUACAAAAGCGGAGAUGGAGAUCAUUGUGGAGAUAAAGGAGGAAGGAAGCACGGAAGACCAGUAUUGAAUAAGGAUUAAUAUAAAUGGCAAGUUAUACUGAAGACAAGCACAAGAACAGGGGAUUAUUACUGCAUCCGCAGACUGAGGAGAGUGGGGAAUCACCGGGUUAACUCCUGGAAUCGUUUCUGUGAGACAUUAAGAAGUACGGAAACAACAUUGCCUAGCCGAGUUAUUGCUAGGUCAAUAUCAGAGAAUUUUUGGACAAUUUUCUCUAAUUUGGAUAUUCAAAGGGGUAUUGGCAGGUGUACCUGAAGCUUAACAGAGUCAAGUGCACCGUGAAUUUAUGUAGAAUUGAUAACAGUGCCUAACUGGAAAUGAUAACAGUAAGACCGAUUGAUGCAAGCUAUACUUUCAGCUGGCCGAAAUACGACCGACUGACUGCAUAUGGAGCAGAUGGUGGAUAAUAAUAAGAAUGAUGUUUCAGUGAAUUUUGGGGGGAUACCUACACACCUAUUUUCUAUCCGUGCUUUCUCAGAAUAUGUGUUAUUGAUUAAGGAUUUCUUAAGGUGGAGCCAUCCCUCGCGCAUCAUACACCUCACCUGAGUGGUACAGUGUCUUCUAACACUCAUGGGGCCAUAAAUGGCUCCAAAUAAAGGCCCUUUCCUAUAAGCUUUUUCCUAAGCAGAAGCAUUUUUUCAAGGAUUUGACUUAUUAACAACAAUAGACAAGACCAGUUUAAUACUUUGGAAAAGAAGAGUUUGUCCAUGAAGGCUAUCCUGGAGCGCCUGGUUUUGAAGGGCGUCUUUCUCCCAUUGCUGGCGAUUUAUUUUGUUUUGCUGUUGGACUGACUACUGCUUGAAGAUUGCAUUGAUUUUGAUUAAAGUUUUUAUUGCGUACGGUGUAAA